GUCGAUAAUGGAUGCCUAGGAGAUUUUGGCCGAAGAAGGACGUAUAUGACGGCGAUACUCAUCGGGAAGGUGUCAUAAACCUGUGAUCCGAUGGUUUCCGAAUGGAGUAAUCCAGCCGCUUAGGCGGUUAGCCUUAAGUAAAAAUGGUUCCGCAAGGGAUUAUAUAGCUUAAGGUAGGGCACGGCGCGAACUGAAACAUCUAAUUAACGCCAGGAAAAUAAAUCGUAAGAGAUUCCCUUAGUAGCGGCGAGCGAACAGGGAAGAGCCUAAACUUGUGCAUAGCACAAGAAUCUCAAAAGUCAAAUGUCAAAACUCAAAACUACAACUCAAAUCCGAUUAAAUCGGAUUCAAAACUGUAAAAAUCUGGAAAGAUUAAAAAAGUUUUUAGAUUUAAAGCUGUAGAUUUGAGAUUUGCGUUUUGCGAUUUGAGUUUCUCGUGCUGUGCAUGAGGGUUGCAGGGCAGACGAUAUUCGAUGUGUGUUGGAUAGCAGAAGAACUUGGAAUAGUUCCCCAAAGGAAGUGAAAGGCUUGUACGCGAAAUCCAAGACACCGAUAGUCUGUUCCUAAGUACCAUGGGACACAUAAUCCUGUGGGAAUCUAGGGUGACCACACUCUAAGGCUAAAUACCAAGAUCUACCGAUAGUGAACUAGUACCGCGAGGGAAAGGUGAAAAGCACCCCGGAAGGGGGAUGAAAUAGAACUGAAAUUGUCGACUAACAAGCAGACAGAGCUUGUCCGCAGGACAAGAGUAAUCAACAAAUCAACAAAUCAACCAAUAAAUACCAAUCAACAAAUAUUCAUUUCUUAAAAUUUGUUAUUGGAUAAUUAGUUGAUUAGAUGAUUGGUAAUUGGUUAUUCUCGUCCUUCGGACGAGUGAUGUCGUGCCUAUUGAAGAAUGAACCGGUGAGUUGUUGUACUUUUCAAGUCUAACCCCGAUUAAAUCGGGGGCAGGCGUAGUGAAAGCGAUCCCUAACAGGGAGUUCGCCUUUGGCGAAAUAGAAAAGUGCAUCAGACCCGAAACCGGGUGAGCUAACCUUGGGCAGGGUGAUUGCCGAUGAAAAUCGGCAGGAGGCCCGAACCCGUAUCUGUAGCAAUAGGUUGGGAUGACCUGAGGUUAGGGGCAAUAUGCCAAACGAACCCGGAGAUAGCUGGUUCUCCCCGAAAUAUAUUUAGGUAUAGCGGGAAUUUUUGUAACUUAGGGGUAGAGCACUGAAUGAAAUUUGCGGCGCAAGCCGUAUGUUUCAAUCAAACUCCGAAUACUAAGUUAUUUAUUUCCUAGUCAGUCUUGUCGGGCUAAGCCGAUGAGUCAAAAGGGAAACAACCCAGACUCCCGUCUAAGGCCUCUAAAUAAAAGCUAAGUUUUUAAGGAAGUCAAGUUCCAAAGACACCCAGGAGGUUGGCUUAGAAGCAGCCAUCCUUUAAAGAAAGCGUAACAGCUCACUGGCGGAUGGAAUUUGGCGCCGAAAAUGUAACGAGGAUUAAGCUUUUUGCCGAAGAUGGAGACUCUUGUGCAUAGCACAAGAAUAUCAAAUGUCAACCCCGAUUUAAUCGGGGUCAAAACUCAAAACUACAUCUUAAAUCUAAAAACUUUUUAACAAAAAUAGAUUUAAGUUUUGAACUGUAGAUUUGAGAUUUGCGUUUUGCGAUUUGAGUUUCUUGUGUUGUGCAUGAGAUUGGUAGGGGAGCGUUUUAAAUGCAGUGAAGCUGUGCUGUAAGGCAUGGUGGAGCGUUUAAAAGUGAGAAUGCCGGUAUGAGUAGCGUAAUGCCGAUGAGAAGUCGGCACGUCGAAAGCCCAAGGUUUCCUCCGCAAUGUAAGUCAGCGGAGGGUUAGUCGGCCCUAAGGGUGCCCCCCGUUAAAGAGGGAUAGCCUGAUGGACAAGUCGUUGAAAUUCGACUACAUGGAAGAGUGCGUUAUCACUCAAGGAUUAACCGAAGUGGAAGAAAAAUGUCUUAUAUAUUGAGAUUUAAGCUAUUAAGUAGUUUGGGUUGGAAAAUCCGUCUGAACGUUUAACUAAGUAGCGAUGACAAGUUUCUGGCAAGCCAGGAGCAAGAUUUUACAUUUCACUUCGCAAGAAAAGAUCCGUGAGAAGUGCUUUUUUAUACCGUACCGCAAACCGACACUGGUGGGCAGGUCGAGAAGACUAAGACGAUCGGGAGAAGGAUGAUCAAGGAACUCGGCAAAAAAACUGGGCGUAACCUAUGGGAGAUGCCCUGCCUCGAUUUAUCGAGGCUACAACAAAAGUUUGUUUAGCAGCUGUUUAUCUAAAACACAGGUCCCUGCAAAACCGAAAGGUAAAGUAUAGGGGCUGACGCCUGCCCAGUGCUGGUAAGUUAAAGAUUGUUUGUGACCCUCGCAAGAGGAUAGCUUAUGAUUUAAGCUCCAGUGAACGGCAGCAGUAACUAUAAGAAAUUGUAGUUGUAAAAUUUAGCCAAAUGCUGGAAAAUCUGUACCGACAAACGGUUGAAGUAUCUGGCGCUACUAUGUUAAUAUAAAAUAUAGUGAAAAAGCGGCCAGUGCAGACAAUCAGCAGGAAAGAUCUUGAUCGGAAAGAAUUAGGCUUAUUCCUUGCAGGAUUUGUUGAAGGAGAAGGGAGCUUUAACGUGUCGCUUCGUAAAAAAAGCGAUUAUAAAGUCAAUUGGCAAGUCGUUUUAAGUUUUAAUGUGUCACAGAAGGAUCCAUCAGUUCUUUAUAUUUUAAAGAAACAAUUGGAAUGUGGGAUUAUUAAAACAAGAAAGGAUGGUUUGCAUUCCCUAGACGUAACAAAUUCUAUGGAAUUAGUCAAAAAAGUUAUUCCAUAUUUUUUAAGAUACCCUUUGCUUUCUAAAAGUAAAAUUUAUAACUUUGAUAUUUUUUGUAAGAUUUCAAAGCUUGUUCAAACCGGAGAACAUAGAAAUAUUAAUGGUUUGAAAAAGAUUUUACUCCUUAGAGAAAAAUUAAAUUCAGGUAAAGGAAGAACAAGAAAAUAUGAAUAUAAGGAUAUAUUUCCGAUUAAGGAAUCCUCAGAGACUAUACGCUAGAACCUCUAUUAAAAGAGGUAUGAUAUAGUCCGACCUCCAAUGCGAGUUGGAGAGACGUAAUCAAUCGUCCAAGUAACAAUGUGAACUGUUCUAUGGUAACAACUUCGUUGCUUUAGAAGAAAAGUGUUUUAGAAAUCUGACUAUAUGCUGGGAUAACUCUGUAUCCGACAAUACCAACUUCGUUGGUGAAAAUUUGAUCGGUGGAGUCAAUCAGCAGGGAAGAUUUGCCAUUUUGGUGAAAACCCUCAGAGACUAAAUGUCAGAAUCCCACUUUUAGUGGGAUAAGAUAUAGUCCGAACUUCAUAGCGAUAUGAAGAGUAUAGAUUUAAAGGAGUCUAUGAAUAACAUAUGAGCGAAGUUCCUUGUCGGGCAAGUUCCGACCCGCACGAAAGGCAGAAUGACUGAACAACUGUCUUGAUCAUCUACCCGGCGAAAUUGAGAUGGCUGUGAAGACGCGGCCUAGUUGUCCUUGGACAAAAAGACCCCGGGAGCUUUACUGUAACUUGGCAUUUGAGGGUUUAUUUUAACUGUUUAGAAUAGGAGGGAGCCUUCGGGCGACAAUGAAAUACCUCUCUUUGAGAUGAACAAUCAUUACUCCUUUGCCACAUAAAAAUCUGGCAGGAGAACAAUGUCUGGCGGGCAGUUUAACUGGGGAGGUUGACUCCUAAAAUGCAACGGAGUUGUACAAAGGUUGGCUAAUUCCGGAUGGAAAUCGGAAUGAUAGUGCAAACGCAUAAGCCAGCUUAACUGCGAGACUUACAAGUCGAGCAGAGACGAAAGUCGGUGUUAGUGAUCCUCCGUAGCCUAGUGGUAGGCGCGGAGCUUAACGGAUAUAAGCUACCCCGGGGAUAACAGGCUGAUCGCAUCCAAGCGUCCACAGCGACGAUGCGGUUUGGCACCUUUUGUAAUUAACAUUGGGGCGCCUAUACAGUAAUGUAUAAGCCUGGUUCUGAUUUAUCUUAGCUCAAGGUAAAUCAAGGAUAAAAUUUACUAGCUCAAAUCGGUGGAUACCAAAAUAUGUCACUUCUUCAAAGAGUGUUUUGGUGAAUACCGAGGUCGCCUAAGGCGACUGUAUCGACUGGAAUUCAGUUUUUAACUGAAGGAAGAUAAAAGCUUUUUAUAGCUUUUAUAAUACGGCUAGCUCACAAGCAGUUAUAUGCUUGCGAUGAAGGUAUAGUCAAUGCUUUUGGUAACAAAAGUUUUACGACAGCGAUGUCGGCUCAUCACAUCCUGGGGGUGGAGAAGCUCCCAAGGGUCCGGCUGUUCGCCGGUUAAAGUGGUACGCGAGCUGGGUUAAGAACGUCGUGAGACAGUUCGGACUCUAUCCAGGACAACCGUUCGAGAUUUGAAAGGAGCCGUCCCUAGUACGAGAGGACUGGGAUGGGGGAAUCCCUGGUGUGCCAGUUGUACCCUAAAGGGGCAACGCUGGGUAGCUAUAUUCCCAACUGAUAACCGCUGAAAGCAUCUAAGUGGGAAGCAGUCCUUAAGAUUAGAUCUCGUGCCGCCGUAAGGCGGUUGAAAACCCCUUGUAGAUCACGAGGUUGAUAGGCGGGCAGUGUAAGCACCGUAAGGUGUUCAGCUUACCCGUACUAAUGGUUAAAGA
rnacentral:rRNA from 1 species